rnacentral:ncRNA from 1 species
UUUUAAUUUUUUUAAAAUCAGGAAAAAAUUUAAUUCAUAAAAUCGUACUUAUUCAAACACAUGUGGGUUAAUUAGUAAGUGAAAGCGUAGGAAGUAAUAAUUUUGAAGGAACUCGGCAAAUUGACUCUGUAACUUCGGAAUAAAGAGGAUCUGUGCAAGAUGUCAUAAAAUAGGGAGUAGCGACUGUUUAACAAAAACAUAAGAUUUUGCUAAAUUGAAAAAUGAUGUAUAAAAUCUGACACCUGCCCAGUGCUGCAAGGUAAAAAUAUUAAGAUGUAAUGUUUUGGUAAUAAACCCCAGUAAACGGCGGCCGUAACCCUGACGGUCCUAAGGUAGCGAAAUUCCUUGGCGGGUAAGUUCCGUCCCGCAUGAAUGGUGUAACGACUGCUCCGCUGUCUCCAAAAUUAUUUCCAUGAAAUUGAAUUACCCGUGAAGAUGCGGUUAAGUACAGCUAGACGGAAAGACCCUAUGCACCUUUACUUUAAUCUUUUAUUUAACAAACGUAAUUUAUAUAUAGAAAUAUGGGAGAUUUUUUUAUCGACGAUGGAAAACCAUUUAUAUUUUAAUUUUGUUUAAUUUAUAAAAAUAUAUUAUUUAUAAAUAAUAAAAGAUGGAUAGUUUAGCUGGGGCGGCUGCCUUCUAAAUAGUAACGAAGGUGUAUACAAAACUAUAGAUAAAAAAAUUUUUUAAUUUUUUGAGUUAUGGAAAUAAAUAUUAAUAGUUUGAUUAAUGUACUUACUAGUAUAUUAAGGAUGUAUAGUCUAUUAUAUUGACCCGGUAUUAUUGUAAGGAAAAUUUAUCGAUCAUCGGAUAAAAGGUACGCUAGGGAUAACAGGCUAAUGAAUCUUGAGAGUUCUUAUUGAUGGGUUUGUUUGGCACCUCGAUGUCGACUCAUCACAUCCUGGUGGUGCACAAUCUACCAAGGGUUCGGCUGUUCGCCGAUUAAAGUGAUACGUGAGUUGGGUUCAGAACGUCGUGAGACAGUUUGGUCCCUAUCUACUGUACUAAAAAAAAAUAAACAACAAUUUACCUUAGUACGAGAGGACCGGGAAGAAUUAACCUCUGAUUAUCAAUUACUAUUAUUAGUAGUAUGUUGAAAAGUUAAGUUAAUAAUUAAUAAUAGUUGAAAAAAAUUAAACUAGAAUUAAUGUUGUUUUAUUUUUUAAUAAUAUUAUUUUAAGUUAAUUUAUUUAUAAGUUUUGGCAGUCAUCUACCGGGCGGGUAGUUUAU